rnacentral:rRNA from 1 species
UACGUAGGUGGCAAGCGUUGUCCGGAUUUAUUGGGUUUAAAGGGUGCGUAGGCGGCCCUGUAAGUCAGUGGUGAAAUGCUCUAGCUUAACUAGAGAGGUGCCAAUGAUACUGCAGGGCUUGAGUACAGAUGAGGUAGGCGGAAUUGACGGUGUAGCGGUGAAAUGCAUAGAUAUCGUCAAGAACACCUAUAGCGAAGGCAGCUUACUGGGCUGUAACUGACGCUGAGGCACGAAAGUGUGGGGAUCAAACAGG